rnacentral:rRNA from 1 species
UAAAAGAUCAUUAUUUUUAGUAACACCUGCUCAAUGACUCUUAAAUAGCCGCAGUCUCUGUGCUAAGGUAGCAUAAUCAUUUGCCUAAUAAUUAUAGGAUGGAAUGAAAGGUGAUACAUGUUAUCUUCUUUAUUGAAAAGAUUCAUUUAAAUUAAUAUUUAAGUAAAAAUACUUAAAUAAUUAGGGGGACGACAAGACCCUGACGAACUUUACUCUAAGUUUAGCUGGGGCGGCAAGUAAAUCAAACCUUUCCUCUAUUCUUUCUUAACCAACCUAAGAUUGAUAAUCAAGUUACCGCAGGGAUAACAGCAUAACAUUUUCCUGAAGACCUUAUACAAGAAAAUUCUUGUGACCUCGAUGUUGAAUUAAAAUUCUAUUAGAAGCAGUAUUCUGAUAAGAGAGUCUGUUCGACUCUUAAAUAUUU